rnacentral:rRNA from 1 species
UUAAAAAGCUCGUAGUCGGAUUUUGGCUGAGAACGGUCGGUCCGCCGUUAGGUGUGCACUGACUGGUCUCAGCUUCCUGGUGAGGAGGUGUGCUUCAUCGCCACUUAGUCACCGUGGUUACUUUGAAAAAAUUAGAGUGUUCAAAGCGGGCUUACGCUUGAAUAUAUUAGCAUGGAAUAACACCAUAGGACUCCUGUCCUAUUUCGUUGGUCUCGGGACGGGAGUAAUGAUUAAGAGGAACAGUUGGGGGCAUUCGUAUUUCAUUGUCAGAGGUGAAAUUCUUGGAUUUAUGAAAGACGAACUUCUGCGAAAGCAUUUGCCAAGGAUGUUUUCAUUGAUCAGAACGAAAGUUGGGGGCUCGAAGAUGAUUA